rnacentral:rRNA from 1 species
AACGAACGCUGGCGGCAUGCCUAACACAUGCAAGUCGAACGAGACCUUCGGGUCUAGUGGCGCACGGGUGCGUAACGCCUGGGAACCUGCCCUUCUGUUCGGCAUAACUCCCCGAAAGGGGUGCUAAUACCCGAUAAUGUCUUCCGACCAUAGAUUUAUUGGCAUUGGAUGGGCGCGCGUUGGAUUAGAUAGUUGGGAGGGUAAAAGUCGCCCAAGGCGAGAAUCCAUAACUGGUCUGAGCGAAUGUCCACCCACACGGGGACUGGGACACGGCCAAGACUCCUACGGGAGGAGGCGGUAGGGAAUAUUGAAAAAGGGCGGAAGGCCUGAUCCAGCAAUGCCGCGUAAGUGAUAAAGGCCUUAGGGUUGUAAAGCUCUGAUACCCGGGAUGAUAAUGACAGUACCGGGAGAAUAAGCUCCGGCUAACUCCGUG